GACGUCCAUGCCCUUGGUCACGGAGCCGAAGACGACGUGCUUGCCGUCGAGCCAGUCGGUCUU
rnacentral:tRNA from 1 species